rnacentral:rRNA from 1 species
AACGAACGCUGGCGGCGUGGAUAAGACAUGCAAGUCGAACGGGACUAAAUCUGUAGCAAUACAGGUUUAGUUUAGUGGCGAACGGGUGCGUAACACGUGGGCAAUCUGCCGAGAAGUGGGGGAUAGCUCGCCGAAAGGCGAAUUAAUACCGCAUAUGAUCAGGGACGACAUCUUCCCAACAUCAAAGCCGGGGUAACCUGGCGCUUCUUGAUGAGCCCGCGGCCUANCAGCUAGUUGGUGAGGUAACGGCUCACCAAGGCUAUGACGGGUAGCUGGUCUGAGAGGACGACCAGUCACACUGGAACUGAGACACGGUCCAGACACCUACGGGGUGCAGCAGUCGAGUAAUUUUUCUCAAGUGGGGCAACCCUGAAGGAGCGACGCCGCGUGGAGGAUGAAGG